AAAGUAAGAAGGGGCUUAGAGUCAGGUAGAACAGUCCGGACCUAAGGCACCGAGUUAAAGUGCUUAGUCAGGUAUAGAGUCCUGCAGCUAAGGCACUGAGUGUUUGAAGAGUCUGGUAUAGAGUCCAGUACCUUUAACUCACUAAAGUAAGAAGGGGCUUAGAGUCAGGUAGAACAGUCCGGACCUAAGGCACCGAGUUAAAGUGCUUAGUCAGGUAUAGAGUCCUGCAGCUAAGGCACUGAGUGUUUGUAAGAGUCGGGUAAAUAGCUAUAAGUCCCGUACCUUAAUUCACUAAAAA